rnacentral:rRNA from 1 species
UGUGUGUUAGUGGAAGCGUCUGGAAAGGCGCGCGAUACAGGGUGACAGCCCCGUACACAAAAAUGCACAUACUGUGAGCUCGAUGAGUAGGGCGGGACACGUGGUAUCCUGUCUGAAUAUGGGGGGACCAUCCUCCAAGGCUAAAUACUCCUGACUGACCGAUAGUGAACCAGUACCGUGAGGGAAAGGCGAAAAGAACCCCGGCGAGGGGAGUGAAAAAGAACCUGAAACCGUGUACGUACAAGCAGUGGGAGCCUCUUUAUGGGGUGACUGCGUACCUUUUGUAUAAUGGGUCAGCGACUUAUAUUCUGUAGCAAGGUUAACCGAAUAGGGGAGCCGAAGGGAAACCGAGUCUUAACUGGGCGUUAAGUUGCAGGGUAUAGACCCGAAACCCGGUGAUCUAGCCAUGGGCAGGUUGAAGGUUGGGUAACACUAACUGGAGGACCGAACCGACUAAUGUUGAAAAAUUAGCGGAUGACUUGUGGCUGGGGGUGAAAGGCCAAUCAAACCGGGAGAUAGCUGGUUCUCCCCGAAAGCUAUUUAGGUAGCGCCUCGUGAAUUCAUCUCCGGGGGUAGAGCACUGUUUCGGCAAGGGGGUCAUCCCGACUUACCAACCCGAUGCAAACUGCGAAUACCGGAGAAUGUUAUCACGGGAGACACACGGCGGGUGCUAACGUCCGUCGUGAAGAGGGAAACAACCCAGACCGCCAGCUAAGGUCCCAAAGUCAUGGUUAAGUGGGAAACGAUGUGGGAAGGCCCAGACAGCCAGGAUGUUGGCUUAGAAGCAGCCAUCAUUUAAAGAAAGCGUAAUAGCUCACUGGUCGAGUCGGCCUGCGCGGAAGAUGUAACGGGGCUAAACCAUGCACCGAAGCUGCGGCAGCGACACUAAGUGUUGUUGGGUAGGGGAGCGUUCUGUAAGCCUGUGAAGGUGUG